CUCCGAAUCACCGUGCGCGCCCCCGCUCGUGGAGGUUUCAGGGAGCAGACACGGGCGGCAGUCGGGGAGACAGAAAGAUGGAGGUGAGGGUCCUGUGCUUGGCCGUGCUGAGCAGCGUGCUGUGCGUGCGCCCAGCGCGCGGAAAAUACGUCAAAGGCGUCGUCAACACCAAAGAGGAGUGGCUUUUCCUCCCA